rnacentral:rRNA from 1 species
GCUUAACGCGAAGAACCUUACCUACUCUUGACAUCCAGAGAACUUAGCAGAGAUGCUUUGGUGCCUUCGGGAACUCUGAGACAGGUGCUGCAUGGCUGUCGUCAGCUCGUGUUGUGAAAUGUUGGGUUAAGUCCCGCAACGAGCGCAACCCUUAUCCUUUGUUGCCAGCGGUUCGGCCGGGAACUCAAAGGAGACUGCCAGUGAUAAACUGGAGGAAGGUGGGGAUGACGUCAAGUCAUCAUGGCCCUUACGAGUAGGGCUACACACGUGCUACAAUGGCGUAUACAAAGAGAAGCGACCUCGCGAGAGCAAGCGGACCUCAUAAAGUACGUCGUAGUCCGGAUUGGAGUCUGCAACUCGACUCCAUGAAGUCGGAAUCGCUAGUAAUCGUAGAUCAGAAUGCUACGGUGAAUACGUUCCCGGGUCUUGUACACACCGGGGUCUUGUACACACCGGGGGUCUUGGUACACACCGGG